UUAACGACUCUCGGCAACGGAUAUCUCGGCUCUCGCAUCGAUGAAGAACGUAGCGAAAUGCGAUACUUGGUGUGAAUUGCAGAAUCCCGUGAACCAUCGAGUCUUUGAACGCAAGUUGCGCCCGAAGCCUUCUGGUCGAGGGCACGCCUGCCUGGGCGUCACGCA
rnacentral:rRNA from 1 species